ensembl:lncRNA
UUUGUUUGGGCCAGCCGGACAGCUGUUGAGUCAACAGUCAUGCUGGUUAAGAAACCAACUGGGAAGAAGGGUCCCAGUCCACUUCCAGAUGGAAAGUUCAAAGCUCCCACAAGGAACUGACCACCACAACCGACUUGGUGUCAGUUGGCGGGAGUGUUUUUCGAGCACUGGAGUACAUUUAGAAAACUACUACUCUUUAACGGUGGAGAUUUUCAAUCGGGACAAGUGGAAUGAACCUGACACAGCAAAGCCAUAAAACUACUGGGAGGAGAGCGUAGUUCACCUUUGGGCCGCAGUAAUAAACAAAUAAUGGCCUAUGAACACAGCUACUCAUACUCACACACACACACACCCACACCUGAAAGAAAGGCUUCCUCACACCAUUCACUCUCACAAACACACUCUAGAAUAACUCUGCUAUAGCAUAAGGACUGCAAAUUAAUCAAUUAAUCAAAACAUUACUUCUCUGAACACAGUGUUAGGUCGCUCUCGUUAACGCAACAUCCUUAACCCGAGACCCCGCAGCCUCCCCGACUGUAUGCGGAACCACUUGAAGGCUUGUUGCAUUUUCUGAAACACCGCAAUAGAUGUUCCUUAUUCGCUUUUGUUAACCUUAAAGCCAUAUUUCAGCACGAUGUGGAGCUCUGGCGCAGAUUUUGGCGGGCACACGCCCACGAGGGUCCAUGGAUAAUCAGCGGCACAUGUUAGCUGUCCUGGUUGAGAGUGCUGAUGUAUUGGAACGCACCAUCGCUUUGCUUUUCUUUCGCCGUCGAGAAUCAUAAUUCAAGUGGGUUCAGCAAAAAGAAAAGUACUUUGGGCUGAGUCAUUCAGUUUAGUUUGGCAUUGCUGCCGUUUCUGGCCCAUGAUGGAAUAUUAUAAUAAUAGGUUGUAUGUGAUGGACAAAAACAAAAUACAAACAGUGGACUUCUAAUUGCAGAAUGGAAGGAAAAUAACAAAAUGUAUAACAUGAAAUAUCUAUUUAAAUAGUGAGGAAAAAGUGGGUAGAUGAGGACCAUCUUCCUCAAACAAAAACAGCUUUAUAGAAGAAAUUCUAGCUGUAAGAAGAUAUGGAUAAAGAGGAUGAGUGAAGGCAAACACGCACACUCCUUGACCCGGCUCAAGUUGCCCGGUCGGUGUGGCUGCUGCCCAGCGCACGCCGGAGAAGGAAAAUACUGUUGCACGGCGCGACCUCAGCGCCGCUCGUAUCAUCGAGCCGGAGCCGCAGGCCUGCUGCUGCUGGAUAAAUAUCCAGUCGGACUGCGUUGCAGCUGAUACUGCUGUUAAGCUGUUUUUGGCAGCGGGCAUGUGGAGGGGACACCCCUCGGUCUGGGGGUCACAGGGGGCGUGAGAGCACAGGCGGGCCUGGAUGGGAGAGACGGAAGGGACGAAGACGGGAGAGGUUACACACGGCGCGUCCCCCUUAACCCGGGAGGCACGACCCCUCAGGGGGGGUCUUCAGACGAGUUUGCCAGGUUGCAAACAGCAGAGUCCCCAGCGACAAGCGCCUCAGCUCUCGGCCAUAGGGCCAUCAUGGCUACGGGCGCAAUUCUCCCCAUCAUUUUCCUCUCAUCUCUCCUGACCCGACCGAAUACAGGCAUGACAAUAACACUAACCUACAUGAGACGAUCAAACUGCUCUCCUCUACAGGAAUGACCACGUUUGUUUACUCACAUCGCGUCACACUGUUUUCAGCAGGAAAACAGGUUUCAAAUAUGUGGCCACGUGUCACCAACCGCUUUCCGCGCGUCGUCUUAAUGUCUCAGCUGCGGAGGUUUGUCAAAACGUCGCUCUCCAAACAUAAUACAUUAUCUGAUCCGUCUAAAUUAACAUCAUUUUUAUGGAGAGACUGCAUGUGACGGCAGCGCCAGCCUGCGGGUUAAAAACUCUAUAAUGAGCAGCAUUUCAUGGAGUACAACUCACCCACUGAGUCAAGCUCCUAACUGUACAAAGCCAAAUGUUAUGACUCAUCGCUUUGUACAAGCAGCAGACUGUCAGCGGAUUUUAAUUAAGCAAAGAUGCGUCUUCAUAAGCUGUCGCAAAAGAGGCAGAAUUUGACUUUGCCGAGCUUCAAAUACGGCGCCGACUUUUCCGGGCUGAGUUCACUGCGAAAACCAGCAGGAGCAGCUCAUGAAGUGCUGUUGUUACCAAGGUGACCAGUUAUCAUAGCUGGCCUUCCAAGUCCAAACGAGAGCCAUAAAGCACACAUAAUGGAGGACAGCAAGUUUAGCCGACCUGCUAGAUUUCCUUGACCAUGAAUGCCCGGUCAUUUCUCAUAUCCAAACAAGACAUCUGCCGGUUAUCGACGCUCAGAAAACCAAAGGGUUUGUAAGUCAGACUUCUCCAAUAAGAAUAUGUCUCUGCCUUUUCUAUUUCUUUUACUUGCCAGGACUUCUUGGCACAGACGGCGCAUAUUGCACAUUUUUUUCAAACGUUAUAUCCGUUGCCUUUGCCAGUGUUAACAGAAGUGAUGCUUCCAUCAAGAGCCUCACGUCCCAAAUUUAAAGUCGUUUGGAGCGUUUUCAGUCAACUCAUGAUACACUUUUCUUCUUGCUGCAACCUGGCAAAGACCAAAUGUCUUCUCACAGUCUCCAUUUGUUUAUUCGAGCAGAAGCUCAUUUAAUACUUCGCAGGGCACGAGAGGACUAUUUACACACUCAAUGGCACCUCUUUUUUUCGUUGUCUUGAUUGAAUGGCUCAGCUUCUACCUAAAUACAGUCCUGACAGCCAGGCCAGUAUUUUGGACUAAAGGGAAAUGCAGGAAUGAUAAGAAGUACGGAUUCCCACUUUUGAGCAUAAGACAAAUUUGUUGUUGUCUUCCCUUAACUCAAAAAGGUGUAACAAACCAAAACCAGGAGCAUCCGUCCAAAAAGACUCCUCCUUAAAGCGCAAGAGACUUGGGAAGAGAGAGAAACACCAGCACAGCUCAUGUGAUGCAUACUAAUCCCGCCUGUGUUUGUGUUUGCGUGAAAGAGAGAUGGAGAGCUCCAAAGAUUGUGAAAACAAGUUCCAUUUACGGUGAUAAAAUCUGUUAAUCUGGCUGAGCCGGCCCCUCUUCGUGUAUCAGCCGCAUUCAUUUCCCUAAAGGACCUCUGGAGUGGGGUAACGCUUGGGCUGUGCGUCUCGCUCACACAGAGAACCAGAUGUUUGAACGGCUCGCUGCAUUCGGCGCUGACGCUGACGCUGACGCGGCCUUUUUCGUCGGCGGGCCGACGUUUCAGCGUAAACAAGACGCCGGCAGACAUAAAUGUACAGGCAUUAUCAACGCGCAGACGUCAAGCAUUGGGCUGCUGGCGGCGGUAUUAGUGUCCAUGUCUAUCUGCGCUGCGGACGGGGAAGUGACUCCAUGUGUGUUUGGAAACGCGUCCAGAAGAAGCUGUCAGAACUCAAUCAACAUAAAACAUGUGCACAUGUAUGAGGAAGGCCACCUUGGGCAAAAGGCUUGAAUGGACACGUGUGUGUGUGUCUCCGUGUGAGGGUACUGAGCCCCGUGCUCUGGACCCCGUACAGCUUGGUUUUUCCAGCCCGCAAAUGUGGAAAAAAUGCACUCUCACUCCAAGCGUGCAGCGCCAGAGAACACUGAACCGGGAACCAACACGUAGUCCAAAUCCACAACUCCAUCAGCCAUGUUCCAGCUUAGCCUGGCACGGCUCGGUUCGGUUCCCCUUCGGCGGAAUGAAAUGGAUUCCAGAUCAACAGCUGCACAUAAUUCCAAAUCCACUCAUUGGGCUUGGGCGGAGGCAGAUCUGCAGACGUACGAGGGGUGACGUCGCUGAUUAAACCAGACCUGAUUGGUAAUAAAAAGCCCUAUUGUCUGCCUCUUAAUCCACUUGAGCCGCUCUAGUGUCUCCCCUUCAUAACGGCAGGCUGAUCAUUCACUCUUGUAAGCAGUAAUGUUGUACAAUGACAGUGUAUAUUUUCGCACACAUGUCCAUCGACGCUCAGUUGAAACCGCGAUUACAAUCGAACGCGUCGGAGCCUUGAUUUUUGGUGCAUGUGUGCUCGCACAGCUGUGAUAGUUUACAGUGGAACAGUGUGAAGGGUGGAUCUAAUCAUAGGGGCUGGAAUGCGACCCCUCACCCCCCAGCCAAUGGCCCUCUGCAGCCGCUGCAGCCGCCUUAUCUGAUUGGUCUGUCUAGCGCGAUAAUCACUUCCAGAUUCGGAGCGAGGCCGCCAAAACCUGGAGGUACGCGGGGGAGCUGCUGGAAAGCACGAGUGCUGCAGAAUCCAGGAGUGCUGUGUUGUGGAGAAAUCUUGUUGAAUGUCUUUUUAGGAUGACAGGACUCAAUGAUCAUUUCACACCAAUAAAGUCGUACCAUUCCAUGAUGCAAUGAAUCUUUAAAGUGCGCUGCGAUGCGCUUCCUCCCUCACACGCCUCGGACUGGCUUCUUCUCCCAAGCAGAGGCAGCGUUCAUCAUGGGCAGCCUGGUCUCUCCCUCUGCCACCGUGGGGCUUUCAUCAGCCCCCCCCUCAGACAAAGCUUGGAAUACGUGUGCACAGCAUCGCUUUCACCAAAUCACACACAUUAUCUUUACACAGGAGAGUAUAUGUGAUCCUCUUUAGAUAACUAAUGCACUAAAUAACCUCAUACGUAUUUGCUUCCAUUCCCUGAGCAACCAUUGAGAUCUUUUUUUCCCCCAAAGACUUAAAUUGGAAGAUAAUUGUCUUUUUAAAAAUAUGAUCAACUUACAACUUAGUACAAAUGUGUGAAUAGCGCUUAUCAAAAGGUUAGAUCAAGACCUUUUUCUUCAUACAUCCAUGCAACUGAUGGGAAAUUGCAGUCCAAAACAAUAAGGACUGCAAUAAAAUGAAACCUGAGAUAUUAAGAUGCAGGUGACUUGAGUUGAGGAUGUGCUUAAAACGUUUAAAAAAAAACCCUAUAAAAUACUUUGGGAACUAAACAAACUUCACAACUUGAUACCUUGUCCUUUCAAAGAGGAAGCGUGCUCCGUAUGCAUGACAGAGGUUACCAUUGUCUUUUCUUUCUUGCGAUCAAAAGAAGGGAUCACGGCUUGAUCGCUGAAUACAAAAACUUCUAGCGAGCCACAAGGAAGCCAAAUACAUGGGAUUUGUUAACAAGUAACAAGUAACCCUUCACCCGGAAUAACAAUGCAUGUGUUCCCGUCAGUGCCAUUGGCCGUUGAACUCGUGCUAAAAAGGAAGACGUACAAGUCUUCAAUUUGUGACAAGAGGGAGUUUCCUUUCCCCGUGCAACAGGAGACUCAACAGCACCGGCGUAUCGAGUUCUGACGAUGAACUGAUGACGAACUGGAGCUUUGCCCGUCGUUCCUGCACUAUGUUACAGCCCAAGUAGCCGCUACGUCGCUCUCCACGAGCACACAGACACACACUCCCUAUUUCUCACCGUGCUUUUUUGGGGCGGAGGGAGGGUGUCCCUGGUUCUAAGCAUCAGCAUGUGGAGAAAACCCCGUCAGUAAUCCCCUGCUGCUCAGCUCUGGAACUGCCUGACUGCCCCAUAGUAGCUGUAGCUCGCACGCACACACACACACACACACACACACAUAUUCAAAAAACCUAGAAAUACAAACACAUCCACAAGCACAAAUACACACACAUACAUGCAUGACAUGUAUAUGUGUCAUGUGCUUCCUGUGGGUAAUUUGCUCUCUCUCUCUCUCUCUCUCACACACACACACACUCCAGUGUGUGAGAGAGAAAUGACGCUCUUUAUUGCUCCCUGCGGUUUAACCCUUUCUAAUCCCUCCUGAGUGGCGGAGCUUUACGGUCAAUUCACACUCUUUAAUGCUUUUUAUUCUCUCUCUCUGUAGCCUCAAGAGUAAUCCCCACAGCAGCUGUGGCAACGCAUCAAGCGCGUGGAAGCACAGAGAAAACAACGCACACACACUGUUACACGACGCGGUCGUAAAAUACUGAGGGGCUAAUGUGAAAUGACAACUUGUCGUCACCUACAUAACGUGUGCGCCUAAAAGCCAACGAAAGUCGACGUUCCUCGGGACGCGUAGCCUCGCUCCCGGGUGAAAGGAACGUUUUCCCUUGACGUCUUCCUUUGCUCCGUAGAGCGGCCGCGUCACUGUUUGCAGCGUAGCGCCGCCGGCCGAGCUGCCGGACUGGACCACGUGGGAGGUUGUCCAAAUCCAACCAGCUUCUUCUUCUUCAGGAAGUUGUUUCUCAUUUAUUUCACAGAAGCCAACAAACGCAUCAAAUAUAACUUGGCUGCCUUUGCUAUGUUGCUCUGGCUCGCUGAUGAAAAACUAUAAGUCACCCAGGUGCAUGCUGGUCCUAUACCUGGCUGUGCCUACAGUAUUACCCAAUUAACCAAACCAUGCAUACUUGUUGACAAAAAAAUGAUUAAACUAAAUUAUACAAAAACAGAAAAAGCUAUUUUAAUACUACAUCAACCUAAGAAACCAAACAAUAAUAUUUAAGACUAAAUAACUAAAUAAUAGCCCCCACAAUAACUAUUCCGACAAAGGUCAACGUCAGAAAAUUACCUCCUUUAAACCUGCAUGGCUCCUUCACCAAUGUUGCCAACGGCAACGUACAGGUCGGUGUAUUGCGUUGUUAAAAGAAGACAAUAGUAGGAAGGCAAUCGCAUGUUUACAUAACGCUACAUUUUUUUGUACUAGAGGUGGAUAUGGGCAGUUUCAGCUUCCUGAUUAAACUAAAUCAAUUCAUUAAUUUCAUAAUUUGACCACAAUUGGACCACAUUAUUCAUCCAUAAUUAAGAAAAAUCUAAAAUAAAAGGAAACCCAUACUUGCAGUUUAAUUAAAUGUACGUAAAAGAGACCAGAAGCCGCAGACUGGACGGAAGAAAUGUACUUCUCUAUCGGAGGACUCCUGUCAAACACACACAGAAACACACGUGUUCAGGUAUGCAUGAACAGAGUUUAUAAUAGGAAUUCACUGAAGAAGAAACAUGGAGUUGAAUUCCUCCCGGGGUACACAGGGAAGCCAGUCAACUACAUCGGCACACAGGAAAAUGAAAUGUUGUGUUCAACAGCCACAUAAACUGUUCAGUUUCCUCGGUUUCACAAGAGGAAAGAAUUUGAAACCGUGCGUGGAGAGGCGAGGCAUGAAACACACACACACACACACACACACACACGCUCAAUAACAAACCCCUCAGCUACACACAAAAACAGGCCGACUCAAACAUCCACAUGAUAUUUCACACAACCAAUUUCCCAAAACCACACACAUAAACACUCAAACCCCCUAUACGCACAGGCACAGGCUGCCAUGAAUACACACACACACACACACACACACACACACACAACCACAGAGCAAAGAAGUGUAUGUAUGCAGCAAAUGGCUCCGUUUCUCUCAUUAGGGAGAAGGAGCUGCCUGCAGCAAAGCCUCCACUAGUCAGUCUGCUGAGAUCUCUAAAAUCAACAGCACUAGUCAGACAAGAGAAGGGGGGGGGGCAGAUACUGCAUCUAUGUUAAAAAACAGAUGAAGGGACUGAAUGGAGGAGAUGGUAAAACUACCAAGAAUAAAACAUCUUUAAAACAGCGUGGAAACAAGGAGGUAGAGGCAGAGGGCUUUUCAGAUUGCCUGAUGUGACUUGUGCCUGUAGCCCACACGGCGAACCCAACAGUCCACUGAUUGGUGCUUUUGGCUCAUGAGUGAAGCGGAUAAUGCGGUUAGUUAACACGCAGAUGUUUAGCAGGUUUAAUGUUCACCAGGCUGGUGCGGCGUGUUGACAUGCUAACAUCCAUCAAAGAAAUUGCUGCAGAUAUUUGAGUCCGGAGCAGCAUGAGCAAACAAAGACAAAUCUGUGAUAAUGUGUGAAUCGCUGAGACUGGACUCGAGUAAAAGUGAACUCCCGUCCCAGGUGACGUCUUGCUUGGGUUUUCUGGUCACGUGAGAGUGAAUCCAGCUUGUCUUUCCUCCGCUUCCAGAUGACUCUCUAGGACAGAACUAAAUGUGUGAGGGCUUUCACACUGUACGAAACAUUUAGAUGCAAACAUACCUCCCAGGGAGUGCUCCCCUUAAUUGUACAAAAUCCAACACAUUUCACCUGCAAGUCUGAAAAAGAAAAGCUUGCUUAUGUUGAAAAAGUUGAGAAGAUCUUCACAACAACAACUUUUAAUAUCAUCUAUGGGGUCAAAUUUAAAUCCCCUCAUUUCUCUUUUUGUCAAAGCCUUGUGAAUAUCCCAAAGGACGAGGUGAGAAUGAAGGAACAAAGACACCAGGAGAGGAUGAAACUAAAUAAUGACACACAAUAUCUAAACUGUGACAAAAGAGAGAGAAGUACAGAUAGGCAUUAAAAACGGGAAAUAAUAGAAAGCCCCAUUAGGCAGAGGUUAUUGAGUAAAUCUAUCAGCAGACAAAAGCUUCUCCCGUGGCUGUGUCACUGCUGCCUGCACACAACUCAACACUAUCUCCCCAAUUUUGGUCCAUUUGCAACCCCCCGCGUCUGUUAAAAAGCUAAAUUGCCCGUCUGCAUCGCCUUAAAGUGGUUUGCCAUGCAGGGAGGGUCUAGUAAGGUGGCGGCACGGGGGGCGAUUUCCUCGGGCGCCUCCUACGACUGGGAAACCUCAAGGUGUUUAAAACGGAUUUUGACCCCGGCGUUUCUCUUUGUUGUGCGCAAGUGGAAGCAUUUACAAUCAACGCUACACCGUUUCUGUGUCUCAUCAGCCGCAUCCUUCUCCCAGACAGAAAGCCGGGUGGGGAGCUGAGGUGUGGGGGGGGGGGUCUGGCAUACAAAGGCGGAGGAAGAAUGGAAAGUGGAGCUUGAUUGGCGGAACUUUCGCUCCGGGAAGCUCAAAAGUGAGCAGAGGAAAUAAAUCCAUCAACUCCGGCGAGUCUUCAUACAUCACAGCCGAGCUGAAGCCGCUACCGUCAAGCAGGAGUCAGGCACCUGUGCACUGCUUCUCCCUCCGAUACGCGAGAGUAAGACGGAUGUCCACUGGAGACGUUGGACCUCUCUGCACCGGGAGCCCCGUUAAGCAGUUUGGUGCAAAGCAGUCAGGCUAAAUAUUGAAGUGCUAGCGAUAGACUAACUAGGGGGUGGGGGGGGCGACACCUGCUGUGGUGUCCUUGAGCAAAACGCUGAACCUGGAAGCCAAGAGGCACAUGAGAGGCCGCAUCAUUCUCUGAUCUCAUAUCUCACACACACACACACACACACACACACAAAGACAAAACCGUACCGCCACUCAUCCUUCACACAUGCAGGUUUGUGUUUGACGAAGCACUCAACAAAAUGAGAUGAGCCUGUGUGUGUGUGGGGGGGGGUGAUUGAGGGGAUGUCAUUGUAUUCACUGACUCAGCAUUUGUGCACAGUCAUUCCUCGUCAUUCCACUGCCGUUUCCUCCCUCACCGGGGGGCCAAGUGCAACCUGCCAGCAUCCCUCUCAAAAUGUCUCGCUGUCUUUCUUAAUUAUUUCUGCAGCUAGAAAAUAGUUUCUGCUGCCAACAUGAUGAGACACAAAUCAUACGAAUGCAUUUUUUUUUGUUUUCAGUUAUAUGCAUUUGUUUGAGAUGCCACACAGUUUGGAAAAUGAACUGUCUCUGGACGGUAAAGUCUUUCACAGGGGGAGGAACCAAAAGGUUUUGGGCCCUUGAAUGAAGUUAGACAUUUAGGAUAUUGUGAACAAUAUAGACUUUGGGCUGCAAAAAAAAAAACUAUAUGUAAAAGCAAGCGUUUGUUUGAAUCUCCCAUUUACACACGCUGGGUUCCCGGCAAUUCACAGAACUUGUUAAGAUUGGAUUCCAAGGUGGGUUGCAAAAUUACCAAAUCCAUUAGUCCAUCUUCAGACAGAAUGAUGUAUGGCUAACAUUAUAGGCAAAACACCCUGCCUGAGUUUUUGAGAGAUUCUUUGUUUGCUAUUGGAUAUUAUUUGAUCUGAGUUAUUUUGCUUUUCAAAGGUUCGGACGCACAUUCUCAUUCAAUUGAAUGAGAAUUGACUGGUACCAUACCUUUAAUGUUGCUGCCAAAAGUUUCAUAGAAUUGUUAUGGACAUUUCUAUGAAGUUCUCAUAGAAAUGUUACGUUUUUUUUAUCCCUCUUGUCGUAACUCUGGUGCUCCCCCCUUCCUUUUCUUUUCUCUGCGUUUAGACCACUUAACAUGUUCAGCAGGGCUGCGGUGUCAUAGCGUUUCCCAUCCCUACCACCUGCUAGAUGUCUCUCUUUUCCCGCUUCAUAAAGACAGCAUUGAGCAAAGGCUCCACGUGGAGGAAGCCGGACUCGUCGAGCCUUAGAUCUUUGGCUUCUCCCGAUCCUCUGGUGUUCAUUUGGUGCCAAGCGGCAGACAUGGGCAAGGUGGUUCAAGAGAAGCCUGCGGCGUGCCAUUUGUAUUAAUUCAGAUUCAGAAUUCAGUUUUGUCUCUCUCUCCAGGACUGUGACAGAGCGUACAGAGGCUUCACCUCAAAGUGCUUUACAUGGGCUCGCCUGGGGAGACAUCCAGAGGAACCAGACAGCACAAACUUACACAUAGAUUCUUUGGGGGCUUUCAUCAUGAUAGAACCUCUCCUGGCACGGUAGGGCCAAAUAUUAGAGCUGUGAGCAGAACAUAACAGCUGGCGGUCUUUCUGGAGUUAAACAUACAGGGUGUGAUGCCUCAUGGUCGUAUCGCCUCAUCCUUCCUUCUGUCUGACUUUUGCAUUUCCUGCUUUCUGGCCCGGGGAAAUGAUUUAACCACCAGCACUACAGAGACCAGAUCACAGAUUUGCAUCCAAAAGCCAUGUACGGAAGAAAUGAGAACGAAGCUCUCCAACUCUGACCUUGGCCCAGAACUAAAUAUACACAAGGAGGGAAGGGGGGGUAGAGGAGGAUGUCCAAGUGUGUGUGUCAUGGAAAUACGGGGACGUGCUGAUGGGACUAAUAUCGCAAGCGCAGGAAAUGCAGACGAGCUCAGAAAUGUGGGUUGGUUCCGCUACAAACACACACACACACACAAUUAUUUUGCUGCAUCAACUGUUCAGACAGCACAGAACAUAAGGCAGAAAUUGGCCAUUUGGGACAACAAACACAAGCUGUAUGGUCUGCAGCAGCAGCAGAAGGUGAAAACGGUUUGCUGGAGUUCUUUUAAUUGCUUGAUAAAACAACCGCAGAAUCAUCCUUGCUCACACCGAAAUAACUCCUCACAAGCCGCUGCUCUCUCUGGCAAAUGCAUGCGACGCCGGCAAUCAAACGGGCUCCUCGCAAGUCUUAUUCGGAACGUGAGAAGCGGGUGUUUGCAAGCAGGCGGCGUGCAAAAAAGUGUCAGCCACCUCGCGGUUACCCGUCACAUCUGUGUCGCCGUCUUACUAGAGAAACUGUUGCCGUCUGCCGGCCCCCGUUUGAUCUGCCUCGGCCUUUCUGUGCGGAGGCUGCAUCAAAAAGGUACCGGGGACUUAAAAGCGCCAUCGUUUCACCGCUCUACCUCUUUUUUUCCCUUUUGCUCACAUCUUCUCUCGCCCAACCUCUUCCUCCGUCGGUUCUGCUCAGACGGAAAUUGGGAGUGUAAACACUUUGUCCCUGCUGCAAAAGAGAAUGGCUCCUCCGCUGGAGGAGCACAAAUACUCAUGUUGACAACCAUUUAUUGCAAUCAUCCAUUAUUAAUGUUGAUAAAAAUGUUUGUAUAAUUUACAGUUAUUCUUAGUAGAGUGUGAUGGAUAUUGCCUCUUGCUAAGUUGCAAUGAAUCAUUCGCAUGUACUGUAGGGGAGUGACAGUGCACACUCACUGCUACCGUCUGUUUCUUUAACUCCCAAAAUCAUUCUUUUCAAGACGAUGGGGAAGCGGAUUCUCUGCAAUAACCAGCACGGGGCGACUGCUCUGGUGGCAAAAAAUAAGUGCUAUUGUAUAGAAUAAAUAAACCCACCUCUCUCUUGAUUUAUUCCCUCAGUGAACAUUAUAAACGCGAGUGUGUCUCAAUCUCUAGUUGCGAGUCUUCUUCAAUACAGCACGAUAUUCAUUCAGUAAUAUUUAGAUCCGUGGCGCCCAAUUGGUCAUUGAAAUUGAGAAAAAAUCACGACAGGUCACCACGCAUGCGCAGUUUUUCACAAUGACUCGGCUUUUAGCGUCGCCGAUGUCCCCGUUGGCCGGUCCACGGGAGGUCCAUCGGCAAGACGAUUGAAAAGUAGCUGAAAAAGUGUGGCCACCCCUAAUUUAAAUGGUCUUUUUACAGUAUAGCAGAGCGUAGAGAAUAUGCUUCAGGACGGGCUCAGUGUGAUUGACUGGUCGCUGCCUCGAUGGAGGAGAAACCAUUCACAAACACUGUUCUACCCUUCUUCAGUCUGAGCUAAUUAGAUUGCCUUCCAAGAGCAGUUAAAACAACUAGUGUUGUCUGAGGGAUUAAACCUGGUAUUUUGCCAUUUAAUAUGAAUUUACUUGGCAGUCUGUAGUCAGCCUCUAUAGGCGAGAGUGUGGCUCCAACACUGCUCGGCCAUGCAGCAUUUCAACACACUGAAUAAAUGCAUAAAAACAACUCCUCCUUCCUCGGCCAAAUGGCCGUUUCAUUAUAUCCACGGCCACGUUGGAAGGACCCUUGUCGUGGGGGAUUUUCUCAAAUGGGAAUCAGUUCAAACUGCUUUCAAUCUGGUUUAUUGGCUUUCUAUUGCCACCCCUCCUCCUCCGUUUAUCCAUCACAGUCACUUGAGGUAUGAAGCGGCUCAAAGCAAACAGAACCGCUGGGUGCGUCCCGGUCGCCGGCGGCUCUCAGCUCGGCUGGGGCCUGAGCCACUGACACGACACCGGGCGGAACCGCCCACCCAUCCGUGCAAGUGUUUGCCCAAAACCGGAGACGGAGUCUACUCUCACUUGUGAUGCGUUGCCGAGGAAGCUCCAGAAGGAGGAGACUUGGGGCGACAGUGAACACAGAUUGAGGCCGUUUAUCUUAAUACCCCCCCUCAUAAAAAGUCGGACCCUGCAGUAAUUUAUGCAUCAGUCGAUCCCGGAACAUCAGAUAAACACCACAGAAGAUCUGGUCACUGUAGAACUUGCUUUAAAUAUGACUGAACCCUGGUUACAGGGUACAAAGGUGAAAACAUAGAGAGCGCGAAGAAAAGAUAACCCGCCAGAAGAAAUUAAAAAUAAAAGACUUUGAGAACAAACCGUGUCACGAGGUUACAGGCAGGCGAACACACGCAGCACGUGUCAGCGGGUACAACAGGAACCAGUAUGUUCUACCGUUGUCAUCGUGUCACUUUAACCAGGCGGGCAGUCAGUCAGCUCGGAUGUCACGCCGCAGCCCCAAAGUGGAGGUGAUGUUCAGGGUUUCAUCCUUAUCAACGAGCCCCAGCACAGGCACAUCAUAACACAGGCGCUCAACAGAGUGUGGGGGGGGGGGGGGGCGGAUUUCUCACCCCCUCCACACGUCUCUAGCUCCCACAUCGUUUCUCUCUCUCACACACACACACACACACACACACACACACGCGCGCAUUAUUGCGGGGUUCAGAGAGAGGAGAGAGAUAAGAAGGGAGAGAGAAGCAGAUGAGAGGAGGUUCUGAACAUGCAAAAGGAACAUUCAUCUCACACACACACACACACACACACACAACCUGGUGAGAUUUCUUUCAAUGUGCUUUGGCAGUCAAACCGGUGGCUUGGUGCCCGUAGUCUCUCAGAAUCAGCCCGUCUGCCUCACCUACGCAUAUCACGUCAAAAAUGCAUAAGGUGACACAAAACUGUCAGGGCAUGUUGAUGUGAAUCCAAAGCGAUCUGUGUGUGUGUGUGUGUGUGUGUGUGUGUGUGGGUUGGUGAGGAGCACGCGCACACACACGCCCAAGCGUACAUGCACUCACACGCGGGUCAAGCACUAACGUUACAUGCACCAAUAGACACAUUCAAAGAUGUGCAUGUUGCAUCUGAACAAGCACACUGGUACCAACUUGCACACACACACACACACACGCGCGCGCGCGCGCGCACACCAUGACACAUUAGGACCGCUUACAUGCACCAAUAUACACGCACAAGCACACGCGCAACUGGCGCAAAGAGUGCGUUCAAGUUUAAAUUGCGUCUCCGGCGCAGAUGCAGCGUUGCUCACAUGGACACCGGGUUUAAUCAAAUGCGUCUUGGCUAACGAUCCUACACCUGCUCCUCUGGCACUGCCGCGAUGUGACAUGCACCAAACACACCAAGCAGUAAAGCUCAGGCACGCGGGAGAUCAUAAAAACACCCCCCCGCGGAGACACAAACAGCCUAUUCAUGCGGCCGCUUGUGCCUCCACAAUGCGCAGUUCCUUUCCUGUGAGGAACUGCGAUCCGUCACCGUCACACAACUUGGCCAAUUCCAAGUAAACAACAAAAAAACGACAUUUUGGAGCUGGUGUUCAUGCGCAAACCUCCUCGUGCGUGCGGCUGCUUCCGUGCGCAAAACAAGCCUUGCGAUGUUUCCAAGCACAAAGGUGAAAUAAAAGAGAACGUCUACAGAAAGCCCCAUUUCUCCCGCAGCGCAGACCCGCUCCGCGUGUGCUCGUGACACCGCAGAGAGACACCGGUGGACGGGAUGGAGAGGGAAGGGUCGGAGGAGGAGGAGGAGGAGGAGGAGAGCAGGAAUGUCACCGACAUUUCGGAUAAGGGACGAAUUCUCUUCUUUUUUUUCCCAAAAUGACAAGCAACCACGAACCAAAAAAAGUUUGCCUGUACUUACUGCUCAAACCGCCCUUCGCGUUCGCCCUCCUUGGCAUGUUUUGUCUUUUUAAGAUGUCAGAGUUGCGGCAGAAGACAUUUCCAUUCCCGGCGGGCUUGUCAGAGAGCAGCGGCAGCAGCAGUAGCAGCACCGGUGUCCAGGCUCAGCUCUGCAGUUCCGUGCGCGCAGGACAGCAGCGAUCAGCAUGAAUGAGGGGAGAGCUGCGGGUAGACGCCGGCAUCCCCUGGUAGAGGGAAUGAGAGAGAGAGAGACAGGGAGGGAGGGAGAGAGAGGCGGGGAGGUUAGUGACAUGAGUGCGCCCCCUGGCGGUGGAUGGUGGAGCGGCGGGUCGCCACACGCACCGCGCGGUGGCGCGCGUAGGUGGCGGCAUCGGGCCCGAGGAGGGUCUCUCGCCGUGUGUUGGAGUCUUUGUCACACCGCUGAUGGAAGGCGGCUCCUGUCGAGCCCGAUGGGUCUCUGUUGUCAUCGUAUAACGCACGCAGAGUGGCACUGUCCUGGUUUUAGGCCUCCUAUUUCGUGACGUUUGUGAAUGUGUUUAUUCACCCAAAAUUGAAGCAACGUUCUGAUAAAAUAUGUAACAAGGUUGUGGGUAAACUGAAACAAAUGAUAUUUCUAUAAGAUAAUGGGAUCUCGACAUGGAUGAAAUAGAGCUGAACAGACUUGAGCGACCACAAAUAUAACGAAUCACAGAUUGGACCGUUUUUUUUAAAUAUAAAGGUGUAACACAACCAACUAAACUAUCAAUAAAACCGAUCAGCAAAGUGUGUGUGGUGUUCUCUGAUCUGAUCAGUUACUCACAUUUACUCGCGUUGGAGCUGAUUAAAUGUACGUUUCCCGAAAUCAUUGCAAAGGGGAAAAGGGAGACUUCUGGGGAGAUGCUUUGUACAACCGUAGAAAAGGACAAAUACGAGGUGAGGUUAUAAACCGGCCUUCAGAGGUCUGCUUUGACCUGCACAUUGUUUUCUGCCUCAGCCGGACACGAUGCUUCUCAAGUAGCAGCACCUUUGGCACUCGUACCUCAAAUAAUUAUCAAUUGCAAUAAUGUAAGGCAAACUUGACAAAGUCUAAUUGUACAAAAGUUGACUGAAUGUGCGGGCUGUGAAUAUAUGCUUAUUCAACACUGCAUUAACAGUUGAUUUGUUGUUGUGGUGCAGUGAAGAAGCUCUGAUAAUAGCGCCGCAUGCUAACGUUAAAGCCACCAGAGAGCAAACAAAGCUGGGAGUUAGCUAGAAACAUAGAGGAGCAUUUAAUUGCUAAAAGGGCAAAAGCAUUUCUCAAAGGAGUUGGUGGAGAGGAAAAAAAAAAUUAGGAAUAAAUAUUGAAUUUAGUAUGGAAACAAAAACUCCCGUUGGAUGCUAAAGCUGCUUCAUGGCAACUAGUUCUGUAACGUUAGCGUUAAAUGAAGUUAGCCAACGCGUUAGCCAACAUAACUCAAUACACUUCACUUUAUUGAGUUAAUGCAACUCCUUGGUCCCCUUGUGGCCAAAAUAUCAAAAAGUAACUGGUUUAGUAUUGUUUUACUAAACUACAUACCACAAGCUCCCGACAUUAUUUGUUAUAUUUGACCAUUUCCCCCAAACUAUCAUACCUUGUCAGUGGGUCUGAUGAAGGUAAUCAACGCAGCUGCAGAAUCGUCGCAGACUGAGCGCAUUUCAGGAAGCUCUUCGUUUUUGGGAGUUGGUGCACAUUCACCAUUUUUACACCAAGUAACAACUCUUUUCAUGUCAUACAUUUGGCCA